rnacentral:rRNA from 1 species
GAUGAACGCUGGCGGCGUGCCUAAUACAUGCAAGUCGAGCGAACAGACGAGGAGCUUGCUCCUCUGACGUUAGCGGCGGACGGGUGAGUAACACGUGGAUAACCUACCUAUAAGACUGGGAUAACUUCGGGAAACCGGAGCUAAUACCGGAUAAUAUAUUGAACCGCAUGGUUCAAUAGUGAAAGACGGCUUUGCUGUCACUUAUAGAUGGAUCCGCGCCGCAUUAGCUAGUUGGUAAGGUAACGGCUUACCAAGGCAACGAUGCGUAGCCGACCUGAGAGGGUGAUCGGCCACACUGGAACUGAGACACGGUCCAGACUCCUACGGGAGGCAGCAGUAGGGAAUCUUCCGCAAUGGGCGAAAGCCUGACGGAGCAACGCCGCGUGGGUGAUGAAGGUCUUCGGAUCGUAAAACUCUGUUAUUAGGGAAGAACAAAUGUGUAAGUAACUAUGCACGUCUUGACGGUACCUAAUCAGAAAGCCACGGCUAACUACGUG